GCCAACUAGAUCACAGGCGGGAUUUUCCAGUUUGGGCAUGGCAUUUUUGAAACUGAUUCACUACUGUCCACCUCGACACUAUCUACAACUCCAAGAAAUGGAACAAAAGUGCGUCUACUGCAGCAACGUGAUUAAA